rnacentral:lncRNA from 1 species
AGUGAAGUGUUAUGGAGUUUAGUACCUGCACUUAAAUCUUAAGUAAUCGAAAGACAAAAUAGUUAAGUCAAGCACUAUCCCUCCUGUCUAUACUUCACCUUUGUUCCAGAGUUUUUCAUAAGUUUUCAAAAAUAAAACUCAGAGUUCCCAGCAAUGAUCUCUCAAGUCUCUCUAUAUGUGGUAUUUGUGGAUCCUUACCAUAAUGUCACUUACCUAUAGCUAAUAGAAUAUUUAAGUGGAGCUCAUAGGAGUGGAAAACAGCUCAUACAUAUGUUGUCUAAUCGAGCCAUGGAUCCAAAGGAACUCAGCAUAUAAUUAAAUCAAGAUGUGCAUGUGUGAUGGAGUAAAUGAUAGUGAAAAUGCAUAAGUGAUAAUAAAACUUAGUUCUCAUUGUUCUUUAUAUUGCUAUCUCUCCUCCUCUUUGAUCUUUGCUUUGGGAGAACAUGGGCGAUCUUUUUCUUUUCUUUUCUCUUUCUUUUUUUUCAGGUGGGUAGUAGAUACCCCUAAUUCUACUGUCGGACACUUGUCCAUUUUUUCCGCUCAAGUGGGCAUCUUUGUACCCCUAAUUCUACUUCGGACACUUGUCCAUUUUUACCUCUCGUCUCACUCUUUUUCUUUCUUUUCCGAGGUUCUGGGCACUUGCCCCUUUUUAUUUCCUCGUAUAUUUUUGCAUAACCCAUGCCUCUUUUGCAUUGAAUCUUUUUAGAGAGAGAAUAACAAUAUUCGGGACAGUGAGUAAAAAUAUUUUUAGCAAUUUUAAUGAAUGGUGGUGGAUGCUGUGGUAGAUGUGUGCAAGUGAAUAUCUUAAUUUAACCACAUGAAAAGCUCCUAAGAGUCGACACAGCUCGAUCAAACUCAAUGUAAAUAUAGUAAAAGAUGUUAUAGCAAGUAUGGCUGUGGUAGGUAGUUUGUUAUGCUAGGAACUCAUCAUGUGAUUUGUAAGUUUUCAAAAUAAAUCUCUAGAACUUAGUGUAGUAGGAACAAGAUAAACAGUGGCUCAACUUUAUAUCAUGCCUUUCUCUUACCUAGACUUUAGUUUUAUGCUUCCCAAAGAUAGUAAAUUCAGUUUUAGUAAUUCCUGGAAGAUCUCUAAUGUAAAAGCUAGGUACUUGUAAGUAAGCAAACAGAGCAACUGUUCAUCAUUUCCAUCAUGCAUCUUUUUUUUUGGUCUUUUUAUUAUUUCUAGAGAUUAAACUUAGCAGAAAAAUAAAGCACACUCAUCUACACACUCUUUUUAUUUUGUUUUCAUGUUUAUUAAAAUGCAGUAAAUUAAAGCAAGAAAAUAUUUAUUUGGUUUUCUAAGCUUUUCCUUUUAAGAUAAAUUAAAUACUAAGACAGAAUAGAAUAAAUAAGAAGAGCAAAUAAAAACUUACUUGAUAAAUUUGGGAGGAACUCCCCCAAGCUGGAUGUUGACGUCGGUCUUACCCGAUGUUCCAGAACCGCAUCAUGGUUGUGAUGUUGUUAUUCAUUGUUGUUGUAUCUUGUCUCAGCUCUUCUACUGCAGCGGCAUGGUCCUGGUUCCAUUUUUGUUGUUCUUCCAAGAGUCUUCCAUGUUCUACUUGCGUGUUCUGAAUGUCGAGGAGGGUGUUGUCGGUACGAGUGAAGAAAUCACCGGCCUCUUGAUAGUAGUCGUUCGUGAAGGCGUAGGAGGCGUCGGAGUAUCGUCCUGCAUCAAAUUGGGGUGGAGGUCUGGAUCCUGAAGCUCCAUAUGGAUCAGUGGAGUACCUGCCCGUAUGAAAAGGCGGGUUUGUCCACUGGUGAUCUUGGCUCUCCGGCCAUGUCUCCUCUGUCGGCUCUUGUGGAUGCGCAUGACGAGCCCAUGAGUCUCGAAGGACUCGUGGAUUGUAAUCGCAAUAAUGCAGGUGCA